rnacentral:lncRNA from 1 species
AGACUAGAGCAAGUGAGGGAGAGUCGAAGCUGGCGGGGGGGUUUUCCCAGACAACAGCCUGUCCCGUGCUGCUCCCUGCCAGCCCCAAAUCAGGAGUCCCCCCACCCCCGCACCACCGUGUUUCUAGUCCUGAGAGUGAUGGGCUGGGGGAUGGAGCCUCUGAAAAUUCCACGAAGGUACUGCCCAGUUUUAGCAAUGAAAGUCCCACGUCACGGGAAACCUCUGAGUCCUGGACAAAUCAAGAUGACAUUUUCUAUGCAUAUGCAAGCAUGUGAGUAUAUAUAGCCUUUAUUUAAAAUGUAACACAAAUGAGACUAUACUUUACAUGCUAUUCUGCAACUUGCCUUUUCUGUUUAACAAUAUAUCCUGGACAUCUUUCCAUGUCCCCAUACACAUAAA